CCUAAUACAUCGACCACGAUACACGGGUCGCUCUACCGGUGUGUGUAGAUCGCAUAACAAAAAAAUAGAUAGGUAGAUCAUUUUGACAUGGUCAUUUUAUAAGCUGAAAAGGUGUGUGCAACCUGAUCUAGAUCGUCUGGAGUAGGAGUUCUUAAUGUAGAAGUAUAAUAAUAAGGUGUAUUAAAAGUCUGUCUGAUGGCACAACAACAACCAAACUUGACUGUGUGAUCAGCCAAAACAAUUAUAAAACCACUUGUCUAAUAUUGUGAAGAUCCCCAAUUCAGCUGACAUUUCGAAGCAUGGACUCCACAAGACUCCUGAAGGUGUGCUGUGAGUUCUAGCACUCAGAUGACAGCAGCAGAAGUCCUAAACUUGCACCAUCCGAAUUUUAUUGAAGAUCAUAGGAUCCCAUUUCCUCAACCACCUGCCUAAUAUUAUGAAGAUCCCUCCUAUGCUUCCAAUCCAGCGGACUCAUCGAAGUACGGACUCCACAAAACCUCUGAAGGUGCUGCUGAAACAGGCACUAAAACGAUAGCAGCAGAUGCUUUAAAUCCUGUAAGUAGUGAGGAGUUGUCUGCAUGGAUCGGUUUUGUUCUUUUAGCAGAUCUCACAGAUAAUCAAUCAUGACACUGUGUCAUGUUUCUCAAACCAUUCCUAAACUUUCUUUUGCACUGUUGGAGGGAGCAUUGUCCUGCUGAAAGAGGGUACCGAGGAACGGUGAAAACUGUUGCCACGAAGGGGUGUAACAUGGUCAAUUUUAUAGUUCAAACAUUAAAUAUUUAUUUGAA